ACAUCCAGAGAACUUAGCAGAGAUGCUUUGGUGCCUUCGGGAACUCUGAGACAGGUGCUGCAUGGCUGUCGUCAGCUCGUGUUGUGAAAUGUUGGGUUAAGUCCCGNAACGAGCGCAACCCUUAUCCUUUGUUGCCAGCGGCUCGGCCGGGAACUCAAAGGAGACUGCCGGUGAUAAACCGGAGGAAGGUGGGGAUGACGUCAAGUCAUCGUGGCCCUUACGGCCAGGGCUACACACGUGCUACAAUGGCGCAUACAAAGAGAAGCGACCUCGCGAGAGCAAGCGGACCUCAUAAAGUGCGUCGUAGUCCGGAUUGGAGUCUGCAACUCGACUCCAUGAAGUCGGAAUCGCUAGUAAUCGUAGAUCAGAAUGCUACGGUGAAUACGUUCCCGGGCCUUGUACACACCGCCCGUCACACCAUGGGAGUGGGUUGCAAAAGAAGUAGGUAGCUUAACCUUCGGGAGGGCGCUUACCACUUUGUGAUUCAUGACUGGGGUGAAGUCGUAACAAGGUAGGCGUAGCGAG
rnacentral:rRNA from 1 species